rnacentral:sRNA from 1 species
GGCGGCGGCGGCAGCCGGGGAGGUUCACAAUAAAGGUGCUAAGAAAGAGAAUGUAAGACAGGAAAAUAAUUAAAUAUUCUUACCGAGUGUCUUCAAUAGGCCGUGUUUAAGAGGCGUCUUGCACUCCCUGUUGCCAGUGGCUGGAACACAAUGGAUCACACAGGGGCGAUAGACACCGAGGAUGAAGUGGGACCUUUAGCCCAUCUUGCUCCAAGUCCUCAGAGUGAAGCUGUGGCUCAUGAAUUCCAGGAACUCUCCUUGCAGUCCAGUCAAAACUUACCCCCUCUGAACGAAAGGAAAAAUGGAAGUGUAGUCUUUUGGGAGUCAGGACUUCAGUCUCCUCUGCUGACUCAGUCUGUGAGCAUGGUUAAAUUUUUGAUAUAUGGCCUCUGCGUUUAAUGAAGACAUAACAAGAAAAGCAAAAAGUCUGAUUCACGGCUUGCCUUUGGUUCUCGUAGUCUAAGUUUAAAAACUGACAAGUGUUACAGUUGGUCAGCACUCUGCAGAUUGGCGAUUCAUAGCUACAAAAUAGAAGACCGUCUUUGACAGAAGCCUUGAUCCUGACAUAGCAGUUAAGAAGAAUGUUGCUUGGACUGCUUGAUCAAACCACUGCCACGU